GCGGCUCAGUGGAAGAGCCUCUACUUGGCAUAGAAGGUCCCAGGUUCAAUCCCCGCCAUCUCCA
rnacentral:tRNA from 1 species